rnacentral:rRNA from 1 species
AUUGAACGCUGGCGGCAUGCUUUACACAUGCAAGUCGAACGGUAACAGGGAGCUUGCUCCGCUGACGAGUGGCGAACGGGUGAGUAAUAUAUCGGAACGUACCCAAGAGUGGGGGAUAACGUAGCGAAAGUUACGCUAAUACCGCAUACGAUCCAAGGAUGAAAGUGGGGGACCGCAAGGCCUCAUGCUCCUGGAGCGGCCGAUAUCUGAUUAGCUAGUUGGGGAGGUAAAGGCUCACCAAGGCAACGAUCAGUAGCUGGUCUGAGAGGACGACCAGCCACACUGGGACUGAGACACGGCCCAGACCCCUACGGGAGGCAGCAGUGGGGAAUUUUGGACAAUGGGGGCAACCCUGAUCCAGCAAUGCCGCGUGAGUGAAGAAGGCCUUCGGGUUGUAAAGCUCUUUUGUCAGGGAAGAAACGGGAGUGGCUAAUAUCCAUUUCUAAUGACGGUACCUGAAGAAUAAGCACCGGCUAACUACGUGCCAGCAGCCGCAGUAAAAC